AUUGAACGCUGGCGGCAGGCCUAACACAUGCAAGUCGAACGAGUGGCGGACGGGUGAGUAAUGUCCGGGAAACUGCCUGAUGGAGGGGGAUAACUACUGGAAACGGUAGCUAAUACCGCCUACCAUCGGCUGUGCCCAGAUGGGAUUAGCUAGUAGGUGGGGUAAAGGCUCACCUAGGCGACGAUCCCUAGCUGGUCUGAGAGGAUGACGCGCCAAACUGGAACUGAGACACGGUCCAGCCUCCUACGGGGAGCAGCUGUGGGGAAUAUUGCACAAUGGGCGCAAACCUAAUGCAGCCAUACCGCGUGUAUGAGGAAGGCCGUAGGGGUGGAAAGUAAUUUCAGCGGGGAGGCGUUACCCGCAGAAGGAGCACCGGCUAACACCGUGCCAGCAGCCGCGGUAAUAC
rnacentral:rRNA from 1 species